GACAGAGGUCCCAAGCGUUGUUCGGAUUCACUGGGCGUAAAGGGUGCGUAGGCGGUCGGGUAAGUCUGAUGUGAAAUCUCACAGCUUAACUGUGAAACUGCAUUGGAUACUAUCCGGCUCGAGGAAUGGAGGGGAGACUGGAAUACUUGGUGUAGCAGUGAAAUGCGUAGAUAUCAAGUGGAACACCAGUGGCGAAGGCGAGUCUCUGGACAUUUCCUGACGCUGAGGCACGAAAGCCAGGGGAGCAAACGGG
rnacentral:rRNA from 1 species